rnacentral:rRNA from 1 species
GUGAACGCUGGCGGUAGGCCUAACACAUGCAAGUCGAACGGCAGCACAGAGGAGCUUGCUCCUUGGGUGGCGAGUGGCGGACGGGUGAGGAAUACAUCGGAAUCUACUCUUUCGUGGGGGAUAACGUAGGGAAACUUACGCUAAUACCGCAUACGACCUUCGGGGGAAAGCAGGGGAUCGCAAGACCUUGCGCGAUUGAAUGAGCCGAUGUCGGAUUAGCUAGUUGGCGGGGUAAAGGCCCACCAAGGCGACGAUCAGUAGCUGGUCUGAGAGGAUGAUCAGCCACACUGGAACUGAGACACGGUCCAGACUCCUACGGGAGGCAGCAGUGGGGAAUAUUGGACAAUGGGCGCAAGCCUGAUCCAGCCAUACCGCGUGGGUGAAGAAGGCCUUCGGGUUGUAAAGCCCUUUUGUUGGGAAAGAAAAGCACACGGUUAAUACCCGAGUGUUCUGACGGUACCCAAAGAAUAAGCACCGGCUAACUUCGUGCCAGCAGCCGCCGUAA